GGGGGUGUAGCUCAGUGGUAGAGCGCGUGCUUCGCAUGUACGAGGCCCCGGGUUCGACCCCCGGCUCCUCCA
rfam:Homo sapiens chromosome 6, GRCh38 reference primary assembly.